rnacentral:rRNA from 1 species
ACUGGGAAACUUGAGUGCAGAAGAGGAGAGUGGAAUUCCACGUGUAGCGGUGAAAUGCGUAGAGAUGUGGAGGAACACCAGUGGCGAAGGCGACUCUCUGGUCUGUAACUGACGCUGAGGAGCGAAAGCGUGGGGAGCGAACAGGAUUAGAUACCCUGGUAGUCCACGCCGUAAACGAUGAGUGCUAAGUGUUAGGGGGUUUCCGCCCCUUAGUGCUGCAGCUAACGCAUUAAGCACUCCGCCUGGGGAGUACGGUCGCAAGACUGAAACUCAAAGGAAUUGACGGGGGCCCGCACAAGCGGUGGAGCAUGUGGUUUAAUUCGAAGCAACGCGAAGAACCUUACCAGGUCUUGACAUCCUCUGACAACCCUAGAGAUAGGGCUUUCCCUUCGGGGACAGAGUGACAGGUGGUGCAUGGUUGUCGUCAGCUCGUGUCGUGAGAUGUUGGGUUAAGUCCCGCAACGAGCGCAACCCUUGAUCUUAGUUGCCAGCAUUCAGUUGGGCACUCUAAGGUGACUGCCGGUGACAAACCGGAGGAAGGUGGGGAUGACGUCAAAUCAUCAUGCCCCUUAUGACCUGGGCUACACACGUGCUACAAUGG